UGGUCGUACAAGAAGAACAGGGGGGCGAUCCCCACACAUCAAAACCCUAAAUCUUCACCAAACUUGCAAAUUGAAGGCUCAAUCCAAGUCAAAAUCGAAAAUCAAGCAUAAAUUAUUGAUCCCCAUUGAAAGGGGAGUCAUAAGUUUGACUCUGACAAGCUAGGUAGGAGCUUGGAAAUGAACGGGUCAAAUGGAUACAAGUUCAAGUAUGAAGCUCGCAAGGAUGCAAGGAGUAGAUAUCCAAUGGAUACUCGCAUCGCUCUUAAUUAGCUAUUAUAAAGCAAGGUAUUAAACCGGGUUAGUAAGUUGAUCCGAGCCAGGUAUGUAUAAUAGAUUAACUCAUCAUGUAGAACUUGAAGUUCUAUGAAAGUUAGGCAAAAUAAAAAAAAGGGCAUUCGGUUACCUUAAUAGGUAAACCGAAGGAUUUAAAUUAUUUAGACAGAAUGUUUUGAAAACAAGAUUUGGUUAAAAAUGAGAAAUUAGAAUCAAACAACAGGUUUGUUUGAUAAAAUCACGAACGGGUCAAAUUUGGUAAAAAGGGUUAAUAAGCCGAAGACUUAAAAGUCUUAAAAUUUUGUUAAUCCAGAUGUUGGGUCUUGACUCCAUUUGAUGGAGGUUCAAUUUACAAUCACGUAGGAAGAAACGGUAGGUCAAACAGACGAGCGGUUUGAAAGAUACGAAAGUUUUCGUGUCAAAAACGGCAAAAAGGAAAGGAAUGAUGCAGGGGCCACCGUAACUUACGGUGCCACCGUAAGUUACGGUGGACAUGAUUUGGUUACGGUAAAUGCCUACUGUUGUACGGUUGAAUAAUUGAAACACAGAGACCACCGUAACUUACGGUGCCACCGUAACUUACGGUGGAGGUCAGAAAUGAGUUUUUAUUUUGGGUUUAAGAUAUCCAUGUGGGAUUUUCCUAAUUUCCCCAUUGUAUUAGUUUAAUUAAUUAUCAAAACUGACCUUUAAGUUGGUUUUGAUCACAGGUGAAUGUCGAGGGUCCCGGAUGAAGAUCGAGCAUCGAGCAAGAACCGAACACACAUUAAAUAAAGCUUCCGCAACGUUGUUUUGUCGUUAUUCUAAACGGUGAUUUAAAUCACAUUAUGUAUAUCACUUAAAUUGUAAAAGUUUUUAAUAAACCCGCAUUUUGUACAGUAUGUGUGGUCUUAACUACACAUCUAAUUGUGGUAUUUUCAUGUAAAAUUGUAAUUUAGUAACUAGGGUGUUACAAGUUGGUAUCAGAGCUCAUGGUUAAAGAUUAAGGUGUGUUCGGUUCGAGGCUUGAUCGCAAAUCCGGUAAGUACAUGUAUGUUAAUAGCUUAGCAUGCUGAAGUGUUGUAAACAACACAUAGGGCUAUCGUGUGAUACACGUUACCCCAAUUAAAAUGAUUAAUAUGGUUGACGAAAAUACGCGCGUUGACGCGUAUAGUAAAAAAAAAAAGCCUUAUAUUAUAAUACGGGCGAUUAUUGAAGUUGAAAUUACUAACUCUUGUGAAUGUUUUAAUUGAAGGACACUCGCGUCUGAAGAUGACGAGAGUUGAACAAAUUGCGGAUAUGAUGAUGGAACGGUCCGAGAUGUGACAAGAAGAGCAUACUCAUCAAGGACCUAAAUCGCGUAACGAUCGCAAAUAAGUAAUGGCAAGGAAUGCCCGUCGGGGCAAGCAUUACCAGGUGCACAUUUUAAACUUAUAGUACAAACAGUAAUAUGCAACAAAUACAUAGUGAAUGACAGUUGCAUAUAGAAUAUGAAACUUGGAAAACCUGGAUAGGUUACCUAUCCAGGAUGACGUUUCCAAGAGAAAUUCAGUAGAGAAUAUGUAUUAUUCACAAAUUGUGAAUAACAAGACAAUAACAGAAUUCAGUUUAUAUAGAAACUUGGACGAGAGUGAUCAUCCAAGUAAGUAUUCUCAAUAUAAAUCCUAUUGAGAAAAGUAAUGAUCACAUCAACAAAUGUGAAUAAAUGUUUAUAAAAUGGGACAUUUUACAUGUUCAAGGAUAAACGACUAAAACUAAUAAUUGUUAACUAACAAUUAAAUAAAGUUUUACCAAAUGAAAUCAUAAAUAUGGAAAUAAUUUGAGGAGUUACUUACAUGGGACGUGAUGUGGUAAUUAUAAUAAGGUCACGCGUACCAUGUGUUGAUCGCUUACUCUGGCCAAGUAAGUAGUGAACACAUGAUAGCAUGAGCUUCUUAUAAUGAGCGCAGUUAUGUCCGAUGUAGUAAGGUCAAGAUGAAUGAAAAUUUAAAGGAUCCUUAGGGUCAAGAAAUCUUAUGGGCAUACUCGUAUAAAUGGUUUUCGCGGGAACCAUAAAAACGACGUAUGGCGCACAUAGAAAUAAAUGACCCAAGGAAAUUCGUGACAUAAGUCAUUUCGGACGAAACAACCAUGGUAGACAAAAAGGGCAUUGUAAAACCAAAGUAUAAAUGACCCGCGGGGUCAUAGAAACAAAGGUAUUGCCCACAUGGGAAAAACGAUCAAAAACCAUGGUAGACAAAAAGGGCAUUGUAAAACCAAAGUAUAAAUGACCCGCGGGGUCAUAGAAACAAAGGUAUUGCCCACAUGGGAAAAACGAUCAAAGUCGUUGACUUUGGUCGUAGUAAAGAAAUGAUGAUGAUGAUGAUAAUCAUCAUUCAUAGUUUAUAAGACUGUCAAGGAUGGUCGAAUAAAGAAUAAAGGUUUGGUUGAAUAGAAGCGAUGGAUUUCGCUAAGACAACCAAACAAAUUAAAACGAAAUCUUAAUGUAUACCGGAAUGCUUGCACUAAUAAUGACUUCGGUAAAGUACCCGGUUGAUGGGUAAGGAUUUAAACACAUGCGUAAACCGAGAAACGGGAACACGAAUUUAAAGUCAAAAGACUCGGAUUAUGAGUUAUGACUGAAAGACCAUAAAAUUUCGCAAACAAAAAUUUUGAUAAUUAUAUUCAACUAUUCGAAGUCGAAUGGGUUGAAUAAAGAAUAAAGUUGAUUGUUUAUAAGUGAUGGAUUUCACAUUAAUAAGUCAAACAGGUUGAAUACAAUAUAACGCCGAAUGGCACAAAUGAGCGCUAGCCAGAUAAGGGUAGCGUUAAAUGCAAGAGAAUAAUGAGCCCGGUAAUGGGAUAUAACCAAAUAAGAAUAAAUUAUGGACUGUCAAUAUCCUGGUAGGGAUAAUUGACAAAAGUUAAAGAGAAGAUCCUAGAACUAAAACUUCGGUUUUAGUAAGAAAUAAUGUUUUUACAAACAUAGACUCUGAUAGGAAUUUAAAUAAUAAGUAUGAAAGAUACAAAUCUUGACACUGAUAGGUGCAAGACAAUAUAUUCGAAAAGUGAUAUUUUCGAAGAUGAAAAGGUUGAUAUAAAUUAAACAUGAUGUGACAUGAUCACGGUCAAGAGGUACAAUGUGAAGAAGAAUCACAUUAUAACCAAGCGAGCGGUAAAAAGAAACCGGACUAAUAAGUCUAGUUAGUGAAACCGGUUAAGGUCAAUAAUUCAAGUUAAGAAAUUUGGUUUGCUUGUAAGUGGUAAAUUCGGUAUAACUGAACCGAAUAAAUAAAUUUGAAAAUAAAAAGAUUUGUUGCUAAAAGUGAAAGAUUUCACUAAGGACCUUUAAACGGGUCAAAGUAACGGGUUCAUAAAGAAAUCCGAUAGUAUAUGAAAGCAUUGAAUAUCGCUAAGUUGAUUAAACUAGUGGAAAUAACGAGAUUACGUUAUUUCAAGUCGCAUCAUGUCAUAUAAGAUACGUAGAUGAUUAAUAACCAAAAGGAUAUUACCAUACUUUUCUGGUAAUACUAACAAUCGGUUAAAAUAUGAGAAAUGCUUAAUUGAUUAUCGAGAGCAAAUGCAUGGAGUGGAACUCGAUAAAUUAAGUAAGAAAAGGUUUCGGGGACGAAACCUCUUUAAGGGGGGUAGACUUGUAACACCCCGAAAACGAGUUUGGUAAUUAAACCCCGUUAAUACUAAAGACGGGGAAAGUACCGUUAGUGGUAAAAGUAAACUGUCAAAUAUUAGGAAUUUAUUUAAUAAUCCUAAUAUUUAUUUGAAGUGAAUAAAAAGCUUUUAAGAAAUAAAGUGAUAGAAGGCCCGAGUUAACGGGACCCGAAAUAAACUUAGUCAUAAAUAUUCUCGAACCCGCAAAGUUAACUAGGAAUAUUAAACCUAGUUAAUAAGUGGGGAAUAUUGUUAGAAAUAAGUAGGUUGUUCCCUACUUAAUUAACUAACCAAAUUAGAGGGGCCAAUAUUGUUAAAAUUGAAACUUAACUUUAAUUAAUUAAAUAAAACACACCAAACACCCCACAAGGAGGUGUCUGGUCGUACAAGAAGAACAGGGGGCGAUCCCCACACAUCAAAACCCUAAAUCUUCACCAAACUUGCAAAUUGAAGGCUCAAUCCAAGUCAAAAUCGAAAAUCAAGCAUAGAUUAUUGAUCCCCAUUGAAAGGGGAGUCAUAAGGUAUGUAAAUUUUAUGAAAAAUCUCUAGUUGGAUUUCUAGGUAAACUUAGAAAUCUGAAAUUUGAUGGUUGCAUGUUUGUUAUAUGAUGAAAUUAUGAAUGAUUUGAUGUCUAGGAGUAAACCCUAGUCAUUUACUUGUUGAAUUGAUGUUCAUAAUUGUGAAUUCAUGAUCACCCGAUUAUGUGCUAAAUGAGUUUUGUAGAAACAUGAUGAACCCUAGAAUCAUAAUGGUUAAAUUGUGUUAGUAGAACUCCCUGAAGUUGGAUUUGAAGUUUGAUGUUAGUACUUGUUACAUAUGCUAGAAUUUAAAGGUUUAGAACACUUAAAUGGGCUGGAGAAAUUUGAUGUUUCGUGUUGCACACAAGGUGCUUGAUGAAAUGCUUGAACAAGAAAAUAUAACAAAACUGAUUGGGAUUAAAAAUUAUUGGGCUGCAGUUUUAAAAAAAAUCAUAUAAAAUCAUUGGAACGACCUGUGAGGUUGAGCCUUAUAUGCUCAGAAAGCUAUUGAAACAUACUACGUUUUAUGUUUGAACAUGUUUGUUAAAUUCUGAUGUUAAACGGGUCAAAACAGUGUCCGAAGUCGGCUGAACUGUUUUGACAGCAAGCUGACAGGAAGCAUUUUUUUUUACUUCAGAGCUGAUUUUGUAAAAAUCAUAUAAAAUCAUAGGAACAUCGUUAGAAGACGUACCAUAUAUGCCUAGAAAGCUAUUUCAGAGUUCUACGAUCCAUUUUUGAACAUGUUGAUCUAAUUCAGCUUUUAAAUGGGUCAAAAUGGUCAGUUACAGCAGCUGAAUACAAAAUCGCUGCACUUUAGUAAUGUUCUUAUUAACCAAGAAAAAGACAUAUGAUUGCGUAUACUUGUUUAGUCAUGAAGUAUUUAUUGUUAGGAACAAGUAACACUUUAUAUGACAUGCUUAAAGUGUUCAAAAUCACUUACUAACUAGUUUGUAUAAAUAACUUGACUAACGGGUCAAACGGUUAGUGAAUGGAAAGAAUUAU
rnacentral:lncRNA from 1 species